rnacentral:tRNA from 1 species
GCCGGAGUGGCGGAACCGGUAGACGCGCGGGACUUAAAAUCCUGUGGGGCCUCGCCCCAUGUGGGUUCGACCCCCACCUCCGGCA